rnacentral:rRNA from 1 species
GACGAACGCUGGCGGCGUGCUUAACACAUGCAAGUCGAACGGAAAGGCCCUGCUUUUGUGGGGUGCUCGAGUGGCGAACGGGUGAGUAACACGUGAGUAACCUGCCCUUGACUUUGGGAUAACUUCAGGAAACUGGGGCUAAUACCGGAUAGGAGCUCCUGCUGCAUGGUGGGGGUUGGACAGUUUCGGCGGUUGGGGAUGGACUCGCGGCUUAUCAGUUUGUUGGUGGGGUAGUGGCUUACCAAGGCUUUGACGGGUAGCCGGCCUGAGAGGGUGACCGGCCACAGUGGGACUGAGAUACGGCCCAGACUCCAACGGGAGGCAGCAGUGGGGAAUAUUGCAAAAUGGGCGGAAGCCGGAUGCAGCAACGCCGCGUGCGGGAUGACGGCCUUCGGGUUGUAAACCGCUUUCGCCUGUGACGAAGCGUGAGGGACGGUAAUGGGUAAAGAAGCACCGGCUAACUACGG